AGUAGAGAGGAGACAUUGCUGGAAAGUGGCAGCAGACAAGGGAGACCUUCAUAGAUGACGGCACGAGUAAGAAUGGAGGAGUACCGGAGACACGUGACUGAGAAGAUACUAAACCUCACCCUGGAGAUCAUCUACCUGCUGAGUGGAGAGAGAUUUCCUCUUGUGAAGUCAGGU